rnacentral:tRNA from 2 species
GCACGAGUGGUGGAAUUGGUAGACACGCUAGCCUUAGGAGCUAGUGCCUUCGGGCGUGGAGGUUCGAGUCCUCUCUCGUGUACCA